rnacentral:rRNA from 1 species
UACGGGGGGAGCAAGCGUUGUUCGGAUUUACUGGGCGUAAAGGGCGCGUAGGCGGUCAGCACAAGUCAGUUGUGAAAUCUCCGGGCUUAACUCGGAAAGGUCAACUGAUACUGUGCGACUAGAGUGCGGAAGGGGCAACUGGAAUUCUUGGUGUAGCGGUGAAAUGCGUAGAUAUCAAGAGGAACACCGGUGGCGAAGGCGCCUAUCUGGCCCGAUACUGACGCUGAGGCGCGAAAGCUAGGGGAGCAAACGGG